rnacentral:rRNA from 1 species
UACGGGGGGAGCAAGCGUUGUUCGGAUUUACUGGGUGUAAAGGGCGCGUAGGCGGCCACCGCAAGUCGACUGUGAAAUCUCCGGGCUUAACCCGGAAAGGUCAGCCGAUACUGCGGGGCUAGAGUGCAGAAGGGGCAACUGGAAUUCUCGGUGUAGCGGUGAAAUGCGUAGAUAUCGAGAGGAACACCUGCGGCGAAGGCGGGUUGCUGGGCUGACACUGACGCUGAUGCGCGAAAGCUAGGGGAGCGAACGGG